GGGUAAUUGGCUCGAUGGAAGUGCGCUUCGUUCACAUCGAGGAUGUCAGGAGUUCAAAUCUGUUAUCACCCA
rnacentral:tRNA from 1 species